CCAGACUCCUACGGGAGGCAGCAGUGAGGAAUAUUGGUCAAUGGACGGAAGUCUGAACCAGCCAUGCCGCGUGCAGGAUGACGGCUCUAUGAGUUGUAAACUGCUUUUGUAUUAGGGUAAACACCCCUACGUGUAGGGGCUUGAAAGUAUAAUACGAAUAAGGAUCGGCUAACUCCGUGCCAGCAGCCGCGGUAAUACGGAGGAUCCAAGCGUUAUCCGGAUUUAUUGGGUUUAAAGGGUGCGCAGGCGGAGGUGCAAGUCAGCGGUCAAAUUGCGGGGCUCAACCCCGUACUGCCGUUGAAACUGCAUCCCUUGAGUGCGCGAGAAGUAUGCGGAAUGCGUGGUGUAGCGGUGAAAUGCAUAGAUAUCACGCAGAACUCCGAUUGCGAAGGCAGCAUACCGGCGCGCAACUGACGCUCAUGCACGAAAGCGUGGGUAUCGAACAGGAUUAGAUACCCUAGUACA
rnacentral:rRNA from 1 species